rnacentral:rRNA from 1 species
UGAGACUAUAAGUCUCCUGAAGGAACGUUGAAGACGACGACGUUGAUAGGCCGGGUGUGUAAGCGCAGCGAUGCGUUGAGCUAACCGGUACUAAUGAACCGUGAGGCUUAACCUUA